AGAAACGGUGCUGUAAACAAAAGCGUGACACAAACGUAUAGAUUAGAGACACGUAUCGAAAUCGAUUGAUGCUGUAGGCAAUCGAUCAAAUAACUUCUAAAUAAAUAAAUAUACUUGAAAAGUUUAAGAGAAAAUCACACGAAAAGAAUUAGCCAAGUUUACUAAAAAUAUUACUCUCGUAAAGUUUCUAAAGAAUUUCAUUCUACCGCUGCACACGGCGAUCAUUGUUUGCCCCUGCUUUGUCUAGAAAUAUAACAAUUAUUCGAGUUUCGAACUCCGCGCUUGUGGUUAGUAGUGUGUCAGGUAGAAAGAUCCGUCUUUGUAUUAGUAUCCACGCAAUAAUUGGCCAGCCCAAUCACGUUGUUUGGCGCCAAUCCGUUAUUUGUUCACACGCGCCUCGGGGCCUCGAUAGUUUUCGGCGUUAAAGAGAGAAAGUACACAAUCACGUUUUCACUUACACAAAUCGAAUGCUUUUACAUAGCGCGUAAAAUAUAUAUACAUACAUAUAUAUAUAUCAUACAUGUAUGCAUGUCUCGUAGCUUGUAUCGCCGCUUUGCCGAUAAAGAGCGUUAAUUAUAUUAAUAUGCACAAAGGAAGGUUGGGUGCCAUUAAUCGCAAUAUUAAUUACAUAAUCGCGUUCGCCACACGUGCGCAAAUAUCGAGGAGUGGGUUUCCGGGUCAUCCGAAAGCGAUCUACGCAAUCAGGUAUUUGCGUUACAUCAUUCAACGGUUCGUCUUUACUACUGAUUAAUACAUCACCUCAUACCUUUGUUUACACGUCUCGCGAGAGAUAUGUGGGCAUCUAGAUAGAUAUCGGCAUAAAUUACAGCUCAGCACACUGGACACGCUACAUAGAGUAUCGCGUUUAAUGACCGUGUUAUAUUCUGCAACGUGUGAUUGCUCCUUAAUCGAUCGAAUAGAACAAACAAUACGGAAUUAUUAUGCGAACGUUUAAGCAUGGCAGAAAAAGGCACUGCGAGAACCUGCCGUGUCGGAGAACGUGUAACUGAUACAUCGUUAAAAAAAAUGUCACAGGUGUACUUUUUGCACGCCUUGUCACGCGAGAUGCGAAAAAUCACGCGGGAUCAGACAUUGCCUAUUACAACGAUAAUUCCGUUGGCUUCCGGAUUUCAUUUUCUUCUUCUUCUUCUAGUCUUUUCCAACGCAGUUCUAAUAUGCAAACGAUUUUGUCGAUGGAUAGAAUAUAUCAUUAGAAAAUAAACGAGCGUUGACUGUACGUGACUCGAGUCACGUUUCACCGCGUAAUGCAAUUUACUAGAUAUGAGCUUGUUAAUAUUUAUAGUUCCUGUUUGUCAGUUUUCCUUGCGCGCCGAUAUUGAAAUCAACUCAUCCAUUAUAAAUAUUCCGCCUGUCGGACUUAUUAGCCGAGCCUUCACCGAUCGGAAGAGUAGUCCUGGCGAUCGAUCGAUCGAUCGCUGACGUAAUCGCAUUUAGGAUCGUUUCAACAAAAUGCGUCGGAGUAAACGGUGGGGCGUAAACAACCAUAUUCGUCAUGCAUAUCGCACGUGCUCGCAAUUCGAAACGAUUCGGUCAGCUCGAACAACGAAUUCUUUGUCUCCCGCGCCGCGGGAUUCGUUUUCACGAAUGAACGGGUGAAAUUUUUUAUUCGCCCCCGCUCCCCCGUCCCCCUCCCACCGAGCCCUUCCCGCAUCACCAUCACCUCCUCUUCCGCAUACGUGUAAAAACUCCUUCGCUCGAAGCGUUCGACCUUCUUGCGUAUACGUUCUGGCAUGCGGGAGAGGAAAUAAAAUUGCAGGUAAGCCUGCAGCGACGACGAAUUCGCAAUAAAGUCCGCGAAAGACCCUGAAGAUCACAAUAGCUCCGAUGUCGAGACCAUACGAUACUAUGCAAAUUAAAUUUCGACGACCUAUUACAUAAGAGAGACUUUUUGCAGAGGGGAGCCGUAGAUAACCCUUGUUUUUCAGAAGAAUCUAGAUAAUGUGAACAUUUCACAAGCCACGUUACAUAUGUCUCGAACCGUUUAGUCAUUGAAGCGUUACUAAUACAGUGACGCAUUGUCUACGCGUUAUCUCGCUGUUUAUUAACGGCGUGAAAAAAAUAUUUCCAGGAAACUAUCUCAUCGAUACUUUCCAUAUCAGCGAUCGAUAUUGUUAUUAUUGCUAUUAUUGUUAUUCACCUCGCGCCUAUAUUGAAAAAACGAAGCGAUAAUAAAAUACCAGCGUGGCCGAUAACUAUUCAUUUAAAUAACUGCGGUUCAACUUGCGGUGCUACCGUCGCGAGCAGACUGAAAGUAAGCAGUUAUGACACAAAUGCAGUCUACGCGCAAACAUAAUUUGUCCCACAAUGAUGUGGUCGACCUUGUAGCGGGUCGCUAACCCGCGUACGCGCGCACGCACACGCGUGAGUCGCGUGAAAAAGACUUUUCACUUUGGCGCCGGCUUUCGCCGAGGAAUAUUGAAUGACGACCGGACGUAACGCAAGUGGGACACGUCACGGGCAUCAUCCGUUAUAACUGACUUCUCUCACGAAGGGAGAGGGAGAGAGACGGAAAAAAAAAAAACUAUCACGAGUAAUAACCGAACGCACUCGUGUACGCGCACGAACGUAAUGCCCGCCGUCGACCAAACGCACUCACCUCGCUCGCGACUCCGCGCGUCGACUCGUUAUCAUUUCCUAAUCAGAUUACAAAUAAAAAACACCACAGACACGGUUACAUAGACGUAUUAAUAUAUACACUUUCUUCGGGCAAUCGUCAUCGGCGCGCGGUCGAUUUCACCGUGCGAUACCGGCGUGGCGGUAAACGAACGAGCGAAACGAAACAGGUAUUCGGAUAAAUGCGCCUACCUAAAAUCAUCGGCCGCGAAAUGAUUAAUCAACGGCCCGAGACGGCGCGCCUGCGGCUGAGGAAUUAUUAUUGCACGUCCAUUACGGGAAAAGAUUUGCCCAACUGGAUGGUGGAAUAUCGGUCCCCGCGUGCACUAAAAUCAACCAUCGAAACCGAAGGGAACGGGAGAUUUCCAUUCGAAUGAAUUACAGAAUAGGUCGAUAAACACGCGAGUUUAUAAAUAAGGAAAGGAAGCGAAGAAAUAUGAUCUAUCUCUUCCUCGUUUAAUAUUAUUCUUUGCGGAAACAAAUAUCAAUUUGCCAGUUUAAUUUGCGGAAAUUAUAUUUAUACAGAAGCAUAGGUAUUUUAAAUAUUUACGUGAAUUUACGCACAAUGUUCUCAAAUUUCCUUUUAUUGUUAUUUUACGAUACACGUGUUCAAACGCACUUUUCUUCCAAAUUUUCGGGUUCGAAAUUGAGUUUAUUUUCGGCAUGAUUGCGGAAGCGCGCUCCGCGAGAGAGUUUCCGCCCAUUUUCUAUCAAUAUUGGCGACUAAAUCGACCAGGCGGCGACACGUGGGUCGUCGAUUAUAGAUAAACGAAAGUACAUUUAAUAACCGAAAGUCUCAUUAAGGAAGCCAGUUCUCGAGUCGACCGAUCUAUUAUUAAAUGACGGCCGGCGUUCGUUACGGCGGAAAUAACAAAUUACUCAAUGUCAGUUAGCCGGCACGGUAGGUAUAGCCGGAGAUCGAGAGAGUAGUCCGGGCACUCCGGGCACUCAAGGAAAUUUACUCGAUACUUUUCGACAGACUCUCGAAGACCAGGUCACCCGCGAGGAUGCGUUCCCCCCUCUUCUCGCGCGAAAGGCGAGAAAGAUAGCACCGACAUAGAAAUCCGUAUAUCUGAUUAAUUGAUUCAUGAAUCAUCGCCUCGAAUGCUCGUCUCCCCGGAGAUAUAUUUCAAUAGAUUCGCGCUUUAGUGGCUAUUUUAUAGAUACGUUCUUUACGCAAUCGUCGCAAGAAAGGCACGCAUAAUGUUAAUAUUAAUACCGACGAUUAUUCAACGUUCAUUUCGCUACGUAAACAUCCGCUUGUUAGCUCGUGCUCGAGCCGAUAUUUUUCCGACUAUUCUUACGUUACAUUUGGCUUACGAAUGUAAAAAGCAGCCAACGAACAGCCUGCUGCAUCUGCGAUAACGUUUCUCAUCGGCAAUCGACGAUAAUCAUUAACCGUUAAACGCUGCAUGUGAUGCGAGAUAAGUCGUUAAGUUGUUUUCAACGUCGCUCUAUUUUCACAGCAUAUUUUUUUAUCGCUAAAUUAGCUAUUAGAUAUACAUCAUGAACUUUCAGGGACUCCACGGAAUUGCUGUUUCAUCCCAACCUAACCAGAAACAGUUUCAUUAAUGAAGUUAUUUGUAUGCAUAUAAGCUACACGAAUAUUAUUCUUAUACAUUUCCUCGCAAUUUUCUCGUCACAGAUCCAAGGCAGUCCGUCGAUUGAAACCGGUAUAAUUUCGCCGAGUUUAAUUUUCGAGGCAACAGAUAGACGGAAAUGAGCCCUAUUACGGAAACGCGAUGAUUGGCAUAAAAUUCUCUUCCGCGUAUCCCCAUGGAAACAGAACUCGUCGGAAGAGAAAAUGAUAAAAUUUCAAUUCUCAAGAUGGAGACAGAUAAGCAGCGUCUAUGACGUUAAGGACUCAUUGAGAAAAAAAAAAAUGGCGUUCAAUGAUUGUUCGAGGCAGAGUAACGGGACUCGGAUGGGACUCACUUGGCGAAAAAAUAGCCGGCUACGUCAUAGACGUAGUUAGACGUUACUCGAUUGACUCUCGUAUACGCGAUUUGGCAGCACGAGAUCCUCGGCGAGCGUAGCCAGCGUGGCGGACCUUCUCUCUCUCUCUCUCUCUCUUUUUUUCUCUUUUCGAGCCCUUUUUCUCUUGGCGAAGACUCCUGGCGACCAGCCUGAGAAUCGCUGAGACUUCGUGGCAAGUGCCUCCUUUCGGGCAGGCGCCCUCAACCCUCUCCUUUCUCCUCUCCUGUCUUUGAAUUUCAAAGCCGAGAAUUUCACGUCACGUCGAGAUUUUCCUUCGCCAAGUACGCGCGCACGUUGCACGAUCGGACGUCGUUCAUCUUGCGAACUGCGCGCGUGUACCAUGUUUUUCUGUACGUGACUAAGAUAAUAGGGAAGGGAGAGCAUCCAAGACCCCUAGAAAGACUGGUCACUCUCGAAUCGUGCCACGGUCCCCAAAGUCGCUCUUCAUGAAUGGCGGCUAGAAGAUUAUUAUACACGGCUACCGUACGUGUAUACCUGCGAUACGACUGGUUCCCAUUCACGCGGAAAUUACCGGAAGAGGAGCAUAAAUUUUACAUACAACACGUAGCAAAUCUCACCCGUUUUUCAUUCAGGAGCACGCAAUCGCCCUAUGCAAUUCAAACAAUGUAGCCGGCAAAAGCCGCGCGUACGUCCACUAUGUCUUUCGCCGCUGGCAAGGUACGUUCGGCUCGUCUUAUUGGACUCGUAACAUCUUGACAGCCGCUUCAUGAUAAACAGACGAUGAAUGGCGAUGUAUAAAAUAGCGCAUCUCUCCGGCUCUCCUGCAUUCAUAUUGUAUCGUUAUUGCGAUAUCCAUACUUUAUGUGUCGCGCGCAUUUCUCCCAGGCGACGACGACGACAAUACGACGAAUAUUUCUUUCCAUAAUGAUACAUUAAACGCUAUUGUUCAUUGUCAUCCGUGACAAUAAUUAGUGGAACAAAGCCGCGUAAAUUAUGUAUGCGACAUACUAAGGACAUGUAGCGCGAAAAUAUGCGGCAGCUUCGCGGCUAUAAAAAAGAAAUCAAAUCCCGGGUGGAAAAUUUCAUUGACAGCGAUAAAAACUACGAUAAAUACAUGUUCUCCGACGAUAAUUUCAUUGAGAGAGAAAGAAACUAUCGAAAAUCAUGUUUCAUAAAAGAAAUCACCUCGCGCCAUUAUUUUGGUAUUUACAGCCUUUUUAAGGUAGCAUUUCACCUUUAAUUAUAUUGAGAGAUUAAGAAUUUUUACGUCGUAUAUAUGUAUAGAUUCUAAGAUAAAAAUGAACCCCUCUGAUACGUCUAAAAGCUGCUAAGAGCUCGCCUCGCCCGUUAUGGGCCGUUAAAUGAGAAAAGCAUAGCCGUAAAGUUGGAAGGUUUGAGAAAAAAAUCUUCGGGGACGUAAGGAAAGUUUUCCGCGCGAAAAGAAAGCUCAGGAGAGACCGUAUUUGACUUACGUGGUAUAAGAUUGAUAAAGUUAAGAUAUGAAUAUAUUAAUGUAUCUUACGUGGGUGGAAGAAAAAUCGAUAGGAACGAGGGUCCAUUAUUACGGUGAGCUCGCUGUUUCCGGAUGGCAGGAUAAUGCAUCGUUUCGAUGCGAUGGAGAGACCGCGGACUUCUUUAGAAUUCCACGCCGUUCCUCCGAUGGAAAUCCAAAUCGUCGUAGCCGAGUCUCGCGCGCGCGCGAGAAGAUUGUUCGGUUGUUCGCCUUAUUGGCGAAGUUCGCAACGGCGAUAAUGCGGAAAAUUAUAAUUCAUAGGCCAAGUGUGCCGCGCGGUUCGUGCGGCUGGAAAAGUAUACACGGGUCGCAUCUCCGGCGAAAUUAUAGCGCAAAUUGCACACACACGUGGAAUAAUAAUGUUGCGGUUCGAAAAGUAAACGAGUUCCGCACUUGGCCCGCUAAUGGGGAGUCGCGCGUAUCGGGGUUAUAGGGCGAGGGACGCGCGUGGAUUUUUAACGACGUUAGCCCGCGGCGCAACGCUAAAUUUUGGAUCGUAUAUCCGCCGGUCCUAUAUCCGCCCUAGGCGACCGUGUGCCGGAAAAUAUUCUAAAAUUGAGAUAGCUCGAGAGUUGGCGAUGCAAGUCCGACGGCAACAUUUUGGACGGAAUCUCACGGCUGCAUAGCGUAAACAAGAUUAGACGACGCUAAAUAGCGCGGUUUCACGUGGGCGCGAGCUCGGAUAGCACGGGAAAAAAAAAAGAAGAAAAAGAAAGAACGGAGAGGAAAACGCGCGCGCACGUCACACGCCGACAUUUAUCGCGAGAUCGCGCGAAUAAACAUCGGGCACCGCCGACGAGGAGGAUCGUUGUAUGUUUGUCACAUUCUGAACGCCUCUCGAGACGCGAGAGAAUGACGUUGCCGGCGCGCGUAUCUCACACGCAAAUACGAGGCCUUGCCAAUCGCGCGUCACUAUAUUUACGUGGCUUUUUUUUUUCAUUCGCGUGGUUAUUUACCAACGCGAACUUAACAUUUCGCUUUCCGAUUGCCGCAACGCGAUGCAAAGUGCAAGUGGAACGUCGUCAUUGAGCGCUCGUCAUCAAAACAUGUUGAGUUCGUCUACGAGAGAACAGGUGACGGAAUGCGGGACAAGAGUCUCGAGGAGCUUGAGGACAAACAACGAGGAAAAAAAAGGACGGUGAUUUCAAUUACUAAUUAGCACGCCCGUAACGAUGUGCGAGAAAAACGCGAUAUAGAGAAGAGGUGUCCAAAUGCGAACCACACACGAUCGAAACACCCUGUAUACAAAUUCAACGACACCACCGUGUAACAUUGGCCCAAGUCACGAGUGACCAUUAGCUUAAUUUUAAAACGCUUUAUAUGUUGUACACGGCCCUCGUCCGCUCGCCUUCAAUUGCCAUAAUUUUACCGACUAUUCUAUAUGAUCCAUUAAUCAACCGCGGUUGUCAGCGGAGGCUUGAUCAUGUACACGAAUGCGGUUUGAUUAUCGACGAAGGGCGGGACCCGAGGGGCAGUAUAAUCUCCAUAAUAACCGGCGAAUACUUUCAGUGUCGCGCCAGAAUCGUCGCGGUGCACUGCGAAAUUGUUUAACGAUCGCCAGACGGGAAUUAUCUGUCGGGAGAUGCGCCGAUCGCAGAUAAGAGGAAAAAUUAAAAAAAAAAGGAAAAUUAUGUCAUGUCGCGUGAAUCACACACUAGUAUUUUUCUAAUCGAGUCUCUAAUCGAAAGUCACGCCACCUGGAUUAUCUCUGGCGUCACACACCCACACACACAAACACACACACACACACACACACACACACACACACACACACACACACACACACACACACACACACACACACACACACGAGAGUGGCGGUAAUGCAAUUACUCGAAGAGCCGGCAAAACAAUUAAUUAUUUAAUAAAGCCUUUCAACAAGCCUUUCGUUAAACGAUCGUUAAUCAUCGGACUUCGUCGUUCGUUUAAAAAAAAUAAAUUCAAAAGGACAUAUCUACUAGUUGAUAAAUCUCAGCAGACGGAGCAGUUGUGGAGUUGGCGCUCAUUAGCAAGUCUGUUCGAGAGAAAUCUCCUUAUCGAAGUUUAACUAUCAUGGUCAGUCGCAUCAGCGUCAUUUCCGCGAAAAAUCUCACGGCGAGACGCGUCCGUGGCGCGCUUUUACGCCUUUUUCGCCGCGCGUCUGAUCUUGUUGCAAUUGUUGAAACUGAAAGAUGCCUUCAUUACGCAACGCCUGCGAAUUCAAACGAUCGGUCCUUUCAAGAGUGACGACAACGACGACGACGACGACGACGACGGAUUCCCAUUGCCGCCGCGCGCGACCGCGCUACUUACACGCCCCAUUACGAUUCAAUGGGCGCCGUGGUAACUUCGUUAAGCGCGCGAUAAAACGGCGCGCCGUUUAUUUUAUCAUCGGAUUUGCGCGGCGAACGGCGGCGCUCCAGAUCCAGGUGAACAAAGGGGCUAUUAGCCUCGCGAUUUAUCCACGCUCCGCGCUUUGUUGUCCGGUAUAAUUGACGCUGUUCCGAACGCGAACGCGAGCGGACUCCGUUAUAGGAGAGACCGUCGAUGACGCGACGCCGACGCCGCGUACGAAAGCACGCACGUUUCAUGUCGUCGCGUCGGUUUCUGCUGCUGCUCGGAGAGGGUUACUACAGUCCCUUUGCACGUCCGUUUCGACGCUAACGAAGUUGUUCCCAAGACAAUACGAACAGAGUUAUUCGCAAAAUUUGGCGCAAAUUGCCGCCGUAAUGCCAAACUCGCGUCCAUAUGACCCUCCUUUGUCCCCUUUAGCCCUCGUACAAAGACGCGUGCAGAUUUCAUAUUAAUAGCUCCCCCCUCCCCUUCGGCAUGCGCGCAAAUACCGAGCUAAUUGAUAUUCGUUUCUGACAAAAAGCACCGGUUUCAGAAUUACAGAUAUGUUAUGCGGAAUGCGAUCGAUACUACACGUUUGUUUGCGAAUAUUGUUUUUUGAUAGCUAAUUAGAGACAAAUUAAGUAGACAAUUUCGCGAAAUGGAAAAACAGAAUACAGGUAAAAAUAACGCGCGGAUAACAGCUGCGCAUAUUUCAUAAAAUGCACACACGGGUUAUAAUUUCAAAAAAGCUAAAUUGCAUCACCAGCUCCCAAUUAUUACGUGCCGCGACGACUAGCAAGAGAGAAUCGGAGUUUUUGUGAAAUAAAAAAAUAAAAAUAAAAAAACAAAUCAAAGAGCUUGAAGCUCGACCUUUUCGCCUCGCAGCAGCGAGCGACUCGCGCUAUUACAGAAAAACCCAAGCGUCGUCGCCGAUGAAAAGGUUCGGAAAGGGAGCGAGCUCUCCAACGCGGCUCGUUGUUACUCGCCAGAUGUCGAGGGCCAAAAAAAAAGCGAAACGGUCGUAAAAGUCGUGGCCGCCACGGAUCCGCGUUUGGAUUCGUGGUGGCCACGCGUGCUUCGAGGGGGCUUUGAAGGAAAACAUGACCCAAUUUCGCGGUCCACAAUUAUCGCCACACCGCCACGCGUCGGUCGCAAAGUCGUGUAUUAUUCCCGUCACGUUUGGACACCAAAUGUAAGACCUCGAUUUACAUCAAACGCACAGAAGGAUUAAUCGAAACGGGAGAAAGAGUAGCGGGUGCCGCUCGUGCCGACCGGAUGUGCCGGUAGUUAAAGAAACCGGCGCUCGAAGGUGACGACACUGUUACGUAAUCGAAAUUGAAAGCGAAGAUUAGGGUCUCGUUUCGAGACGAGCCAGCAAAAGAGACAACAAUGCAAGAUAGCCGGCUGAGAUUUCACCGUGCGAACGUGAUGCUUGUUCAGCGUAUACGUUGUCGUCGUAAUCGGAAGUCGUACAUUUUUCCGACGACGACGACGUUCCGCGCGUCGCCGAAAGGGGCAGAGACACGACAAACAGCGUGGCGCGAUAGGUAGGGCGGCGCAGCGCUUGUUUAAAAGUCGAUUCGAUUGUUCAGUCAUGCGUGCGCGGUUUCGCAAGCGUCUGGCAGAGAGACAGAGAGUCGGAUAGGCGAGGAAGGGAGAACGGGAGAAAGAGAGAGAUCCUGACGUGCCCGCUUAGGACGCAUGAAAUGAAAAUUUUAUCGAUCGCCGGGGAUAGGUAUCCAUCCCUCCAGCCCCAGAGCGUAAAUUGUGAUGCCGCUGUGUGCGCGGGAACUGCUUUCAUACGCGAGCUGCCGCCUUCGAGCCAUCGCCAAGUAAAUCGGGACAGUAACUCUCCGCGGGUGCCGAGCACUAAGGAUGAGAAAAAAUAUGAUCCCUGGGUGAACUUUAUAAAAUUCCCCGCAUGAAUAUUUAGUGGCGUAUUUCAACGGUAUGGCGGCCGCGAGAUGUUACGUAAUGUGAAUGAAACGAAAAUUUCGUAUAUAAUUUUCUCCGGUGAUUUCGAACGACGAAAGGGUGAAACUGGGGGAGAAAAAAAAUAAUAACAGCGUGGCGCCAAAUCAACAUUGCGAACGAAAAUCGCUCCGGUAUAUGCUCGGGCGUGUGAUGAGCGCGAGAUAAAAAUAUUUUCGGCAGAGACAAUAUAUUCUGAAUCUCUCCCCCUCCCCCCAAAUACACACAUACACGCGUGUAUGCACGCAUCUCUCUAACAAUGUUCUCGGAAAAAAAAAAAACGCCCUCGCGCCGCGUACACGCAAUCUUUCGCAGUUAUUGACUCCGUUUUCUUCACUCGGCACCCCUGUGUUCAUAAAAAGUUGAGCCGAUGAGCGGAUUACCAUAAUUUCCCUUGGAUUUCUUGUGCGGGAAGGCGACUCUCUCGUACUAAUUGUUCAAGCCUCGUUUCACCAUAGGGCAAAAUCUUUUCAUUAUCCCGUAGCGAACUCUAUAAGCGUCACAAAAUAAUUGCGAAAAUAAACCUCCAAAUCGGCGCGCUGUCGACCGAGCGGCUCUAACUGAAGAGAAACGGGAAGAGGAAGGAACGAAGAAGAAGACGAAGAAGAAGAAGCUUGGAGGGGACCCGUGUCCGAGAGAGAUUUACGCGACGUCCACGAUCGAGAAGCCGAUUAUUGGGAGGAAGGCCUUGUGCCACAUUGUGUAUCGCGUAUAUCACUCCCACACGACAACAUAUCGUCGCGCGGCGACAACCACCAAAUUUUUUUUCUUCUUUUUUUCCACCUAAUAGCGCUGAGUGCUAGGAGAGAGAGGUCAUUCUCCUCUUACGCAACGCUCGUAGAAAAUAUCUCCUAUUAAAUUAAACCUCGCGUGUUGUAUUUCACCUCGCGAGCGAAGAAAGAGUUUCGCGUCGAGGAAUAUCCAUUACGUAUAAUUUACAUUAAUUAAAUUAGAGUCGAGGUAAAAUCGCACCGUUUAAAUCUGAAAUCUUCUCCGCGGUACAGGCUCUCCUAGGCAACCAGCAGGUGUGGCUCGUUGUAGUAAGAUAGAGGAGUCGAAUCGUUUCGCAGGAGAGAAAGUUUGAUUGAAUCGCGACUAUCGCGGCAGCGGGCGCCUCGACUUCAAUACCUCAGCAGUACCUCUCUCGACGAACGUACAAACACGCCCGAUUUCAUCGACCACCACUGUAUAUGUACGCGGGGCGAAAUGAGGGAGCCCCCGACGUAUCGGUUAAAUUUAUUCGCGCCGUUUGCGAAAUCGAGCGCGAGGCGACCGCCAAUGCGAGCCAGCGGGAGUAUUAUCGUAAUAUCCGAAGCGGGUAAAAUACGCGCGCACGUGUGUGUGUGUGCGAGGAGUGCCGUUCAAUUCGAGAGGAACCGAAAACCCACCCCCGAAUCGACGUUAUGAGGAGCGCGAUGUAAACGUUAACUCGACGGCCAAAUUGUAAUCGAAUAAAAUGCAAAAUAGUUGCGUGUCCGAAUGACGUUAUUUUACACCGACUGAAUUUGCGCCGCCUAUCGUUAAUCGUCUCUCGCUCUCGGCGAUUAUGAAACGCGGCAAUUUAUUUUUCGUUUAUCGAUAUCGACCAAUAGGGAUUGUUAAAGUGACAGACGUUAAUUUAUUACUCGAUUUUUUACGUCGGAAAGAAAGAGCUUGGAAAAAAAAUAAAAGAUACAAUUUUUACUUCUUUUCUCUCUCCCGCAUCUUAUAAGAGCCAUCGGUGUCGUUGCCUAAUAAUAUUCAGUUCUGCCAGAGAGGACACCCGAAGACUUUUAAUAUCGUUUACAGCGCGGUGAAUUUAUUCGCAAAUUAUUGCCCAUUUCGCCUUUCGAAAACUGUUGCGUACAGAAUUGCCGUGAGUCGGUGAAUGGACAUGAAAAGAGAGGAGUUAAUGGUAGCCGAUUCGCGAAAUCGGGCGGCCGUUAAUAGCGAUAAUGAUCAACCAUCAGUACGGAGAAGUAACUCCAUCGAAGAUAUGGAGCAACGUGCCAAUUACGUGCGAGGGCAUAAAGCAUGAAUUAAAGUGGCAUAAAGAAGCGAUGGCUUUUUACUGCCGUGCCGACGUGACCGAGGAGGUGGCGGGCGAACGAAGAGAAACGGGGAGGGAGGCGGUCGGAGUGUCGUAAGAAGCGGAAGGGAAUGAUAAAAUGUAAUGUCGCGCGUCUCCACCUACGCGGGGAUUAAUUGCAAUCCAUCGCGAUACGGCUUAAUUAAGAUCAACAAUUAAGCGGACGGUGUUGCGCGCUCUCGCGCCCGCCGUGUCCGACAAUUGGACGUAUCCAACAAUUAGCGGCUGUUCUCUCUUUACCGGCGUUUCCCACAGACGGCCGAUUAGCCUGCCGCGCGAUCCGAACGAUAGGUAUGUGUGCGCCGAACGUGCAUCGUAUGCAUAACAACGCAACCGCGGUAUCAGCCGCGUCUGCGAGCGGCAGAUGCACGGGUGUCCCGAAAAUUUGCGACAUACGAAACGAUUUAAGGCCACUUGCCGAGUAACACGUUUCUCGUGUACUACUGCAGCAGUAAAUCGCUUCCCCUUUCAUUCACGCUGAUACUCGAUUUCUGAAACACUGUGUGUGCAACACGAUUGAACGACGUACCGACGCUCACACUUACGCACGCAUACGCGAUGGCCAUUUCUAAUUAGUCGUUAUUACAGGUGUGUCAGUUGUUACACCGGUCGGUAAAUCGAAAUCCCUAAAAUAACUUAAUUUUCUUGACAAAAGCCAAAGUGAUUGAUAGAUCGGAGUAAAAACAUGACACAAAAAUUAUCCUAAAAAAAGUUUCAUAUCAUCGAGUAAACAACCUUUCGCUUUUAUUACGAGAUAGAUAUUUGCAUGUAAGUUUCAUUGAUGCCAUUAAGAAAUGUCAUUUUCUCAUAUGUCCAGCAAUUCAAUAUGUCCAUAAUUGUAAUAUCGUGGAAUAAACGCAUAUUUCACUACUCAUUUCACGUUUAUUUUCCGUAAGCUUUACCUUCUCCUAAAACAAAGGGAUAUCUCGAUUUCAUAACCGACCACUCCAAGGUCUCAUUUUUCAGAUCCGUCCGCUUCGAUAGAUAAGAACAGAAGCAAUUGCUUUUUAUUUUAUGUGACUCACGUAGUUCCCGAGCCCCGGCUCGUUUGGGAUUGUUAUCAGAACGGCUGUAAUAGACGGAUCUAUCAGAAGCAAACCCCGUAAAACCCUCCGUUUUCGAUAUAUCACUAUAAUAUUAUAGAGAAACUAUUCGGCAAAAACCUCCUUCAAAACAACUUCUCAAUACACUACGUUACGAUGUAAUAAAUUCACUAAAAUAUUCCGCGAAAAUAUCAAUCGUAUUAUUUCACCGGGAUUAUCAAAUGUACAUGCCUGCGAAUUAUGUCUAUUUCAUCAUCCAUUUGCGAGGUCGCCGAUCCCGCUUAUAUAACGAGAAAAAAAAAGAGACAAUCUGUACUUCCAUCAACCAAGUCGACAUUCCGCGGUCAUCGACAUUUUUUUCGUGUGUUUGCCAUGAUUGUGAUAACGCUUACUUUUCGGCGCCGUUUAUCGGGAGCACAAGCAAACAGCAUCAUAUUAUUACAAGUGUCAACAAAAAAUGUCAUAUCGGUCGGAUGUUUCGAACCGUGCCGUAGCAAAUGCAAAAGAAAAUUAUUGAAUUUCUUUUUUCAAAUACCUAUAUAUAUAUAUAAUAGGUAUAAGAACAAAAUUGUGAAUUUUAAUAAUUCCUUUUAUAACACUAAUAAAGAUAAAAGGUAAAGAAAGAAAUAUUAUUUAAAAACUAAAGCAAUAAUUUUUUCACUUUUGCUCUUAACGAAAACAUCCUCUUGUACAUUUCUCUUUGUAUAAAUAUGGUAAUUUUUCUUCAGACAUAAUAUGUACGAGCAAACGAACAAAGGGUUUUAGGAUCAAUAUGUUGAGAAAUUAUUUUUAAAAAUAUUGUGUGGAAACCGUUUCAUAUGUAUCCUACCUUGCGCUGCUGCUUGUACGAGGAUACAGUUUUCUCGGAGGACUUCCUUUCAACUAAAACGAUCAAACGAUCCAGCGGUGCGCCCGACCGUAAGACGGCAGUGCGCCGCGGGUUAUGGCACUUGUUUGCCUGGCCUAAAACAACACGUCUCCUCCGCCUGCGAGCAAGAGUGUGCCCGGUCUUAUCACGCACGUGCGUACACACGUUACGCGUGCGAAAUAAGAAGCACACGCGCGCGCCGCGUGUGUCGAACGGAACUUACGCAUGAAUCUCCAACCCAGCAAUUUUACUUGAGCCGCGAUUAACACAAAACACUCCGCUGACUCGCAUGGAGCUAAAUGGCACGAAAUGAUGUAUUAAUGCGUACUUCGAGCGUAACACGCAAACAGAAUGAUUUAUCAUCAAAUAUACAUGGGCCGAAAUUGGAUGAGUAAAUGUUCGCUCUCUGAGCGAGGGGGACAAGUGUACAAGGCAUCAAAAUUAGGACAGGUCUAAUGUGUGCGUAAAACUGUAAUACGUCGUACAUUUUGGUAUUCUAAGAUAGUCCAAGAAAAACGUAAGGCCAUUUUGAGCGGAGCGGAUCAAUUAUCGCUGCCGUGGGUCACUAGACCGACUCGCUCGAUAGCGAAGGACGUGUAAAAAAUAUCUCCUCUUCGGCAGAGGGAACAACAUGGUGGCGAUAAAGAAAUUAAUCUCGUACGAGAUUUAUUGCGACCAUUGUGGCGCGAAACACCGCGCUAAAUCUGGAGUAAUCGAUGAAGAAUUGUGGAAGAAAGUGACGGAUAUCCGCGCGAUUUAAUGAUAAAUAGGGGCGACUGAUAAGGCUCUCUUUCCAUUAGAAGGAAGCAGAAAAUGUGAGCAGGAUCUACUGAAAUUACCGUAAACUUGUAAGAAAAUGCGAUUGACAUAACGAUAUUGAAAUAAAUUUGUAACAGAAAACACAAGUGUCUAUUAUUUCGUGCAACAGAAAAUAUAGCCCCAUGCAUUAUUAUAUUUCUUAUCAAGAAUCCACUUUUUAAUAAAACAAUUAUUAAUUGAAAUAUUUUAAUGUAAAUUUUAUUUUAUGAUAGUGUUCCUAAUUUUAUAGAGUAUCCUAAUUUUAUAGAGUAUCCUAUACUAAAAGAAUGAUGCAAGAGCACCCAAUUCGAGGAUCAUCUUACACGCACACGCACGCACUCCUACACAUGCAUGCACGCACACGAAAGUGGUUUUCCUGUCAUAACUUGUUCGGGGUGGUUAGGAAUUCCAUAGGUCGAUGAAGGGCUAUUCAUCCUACACAAUAGCGUAGAUACAAAUCGUUAUACCUUGCGUUAGAAAUCCUUUUCAAAUCAAGAGAGAAAGAGAGAGAGAGAGAGAGACAAAGAUCGAUCACCGGAGUCUUCUUUUAUCUUUACGUUAAAUGUCAACUUUGUAUAUUUUCCUGCUAUAUCAAAAUUACUGUUACGAUUACACGUUUUCGAUAACGUCAAAUAAAUAAGAGCAAAGUCCCUACUGCAAAGUUCAAGAUAAACGCGUGUGCAUCGGAAUAAUGCACUCAUUAAUCUAAUUUCGAUGAUUAAUUUGACAUCCAAGUAAGAUUCGGAUAAGAAAUAAAUAUUUCUUCUUCAGACAUAAUAUGAGUACAUCAUGUAUUUUCUCAUCAUGUAUUUUCUUUCAGUACGGCAAAAAAAGAAAGCUCGUCUUUAUCAUCCGGAUCUUUUAUUUUGUAAUAACUACGCCACUGUCUUGAAAUCGUGUGGAUCAGUUCGACAGUAUAAACGCCAUCCGCUGCGACUGAAUAAUCGAAGGUGCGUCUCGGCUACACGUGUCAACGUUACAACCAUCAAGGACGCCCAAAUUCUAUCUCUGUGCGCCGUAUUACGAAUACCGAUUGACCGAUUAUUAUCGACACGAUUCCUCUCUUUCGACCACUUAAACCUUCGACCUGGGUCGUGCUCAAGUUUUUAAUCGCAAUUUCGAGCCACUGGAACCAGUCCAGGACCUAUUACGUUGCGCUCGUUCACCACCUAUUAUUUUGGAAGAGACCUAUCGGGACAAUCAUGUAUUAUGGGAGGACAGAGGAUAUCUAGAAUAAACGUUGUUUCUUUCUCCCUGGUGUCCCAUUGUCUUUCAUGUGCGAUAAUAAAAAAAUACAAUAAUUAUAUUAUCAAGAAUAUUCCCGAAAUUUCUUUUUACUUUAAUCUCCUAAAAUUAAUGUCGCACAGAAAUAAAGUAUGCAAAUAAUACGUACUUUUCUUUCAAUUUUACAAUAAUACAAUUAAAAUAUUAUAUUUUAAUUAUAAACACGAAUACAGAUUUAAAUUAAUUUGUAUGAGGACAUAUACAAAUAUAGCUGAUGUCAUACUAAUAAAUGUGAUAAUGAUGCUCAAUACCGGCAGAAUGUUUGAGAAUUAUCCAACGACACGAGCAAACAAAUUAAUCAGCAGGAAGCGAACAUCUUUCUCGCUCUCUCCCUGUUGAGUCGAGUCACGCGAGUGAUCUGUGCUUCGGGACGUAUCUACCGAUAUCAGCGCGGGGCUCCCAAGGUCGUUCGGAUAAAAUCCGAUAAUUUAAUUCAAGCGGUCAAUUUUCAGAGCGCGCGUACUCCUUUCUCCUCCCUUAUCUCUUUCGCUCUUUCACGGACGCUGACUGCGUCGUCAUAGUGUCGUCUCAAGGAACACAUCUCCGCGACGCGAAGAAAGAUUGCGAAUAUACAGGGUGAUACCCAACUGAUAAAACCAAUUCAUUCUUAAUUCGUUCGUGAUAUAUUUUUCCAGCUAAAGUAUCUGAAUUAAGUUCGCCGGUUCCGUAACAAUUGAAAAUUUACCCGAUAAAGAAGAAUCUAUGCUCGUCAAGAGAGAGAAUAACCCGUCAUUAAAAAUUAAGAGCAGAAUUUCUCUGGGAUAUCGUGUAAAAAAAGGGGAGGAAAAAUAAACUCAGCUGAAAGUAUAAGAAUGGAGGUUGGAAAGCGGCGGGAAAAAGGGGAGAAACGACGAAGAGGAGAAGAUCGCGCGAACAAAGGAAACUUUGCGAGUUCGAUGCCCCUUUCUUAUCAGUAAAUGGCACUGUUAUAGUCAAGGCAGUGGAGGCGGCCGCCUGAUUGGUCGCUGGCGAGCUCGACGUCAUCGUAUCGAUUGCCGGUCUGCCACGUGACAGCCAGACCUUUCUCUCUCUCCUAUAUUCUCCACUCUCUCGGUCCUCGGCCCUCGCAUCGCACUUGGGACAUCUUGUGUCCCACUGGCCGAUUCAAGACCGAGGUACACAAAGAACCUCGCUCGCUCGUGCUGAUCAGAAAGCGUGAGAGCAGUUUUUCUGGUUUAGCCGCGAAAUUGCGACAAGUUCGAAAUUUCGGAUAGCGCGUUCGAAAUAUCAAAUUACCAACUACAAAAUGGCAUUCGUAAAUUUACAGGAUGAAAUUUUAAGUCUCCCAAAUUUCGAAAGUCUAUAAAAUCGCAUGUGCGAUACGGAUGUGCUCCGGAGUUUCUCUUUGAGCUGUAAGAAAGCCAAAGUCGGACGAAUUUCUGGCCAAGGUCUUGAAUUCUUCCCAAUCUGUCCACACGAAGAGUACCGCUAGCGCGACUCCUAACAACAGCCGCAAACUUCUAUUAAUACCGCCAAUAAAGUCAACACCGUUUCGUAUAUCAAAAUUCUUAGCGGUAUAUUCUCAAUUCCUCGUCUGCCAAAUCGACGAUAUUAUAGUUUACGUAAUCACUAAUUGGCAUUUUAUCGCGAUGGCAGCAAAAUUUAUCGCGACGAGUUCGCCCACCAGGCACUAAAUAAAAUUUAAAAAAAAGAGGGAGAGAGAAAUGAAGACUCGCACCCGGUUCUGAAUCGUUCGCGUCGAAGAAAGAACCCUCGUUUCUUAUUCAGCUUUGACGUCGACGUUGUGACGUCGCGAAAAAAAAAAGAAAGAAAGAAAUCGUGAAGAAUCUCGCCGGGGAAGUAGAGCAGGGGAGGAGACGAGGAAGAGGGUAAGUAUACGAGCGAGGACCGAGCGAAGGCAGCCUAUGACCGGACAUAAACAACGUUGAAAACCAGAACUCAGAUCUCCGAAACCAGUUCCAACGCCUGGAAAACAAUUUUACGACAUCGGAAGGGGGAGGGGGCGAGGACGGGAGAAAGGGAGAGAAGAAAGAAGAAAGAGAAAGGAGGGUGGGCGAGAGCGGAGUUUAUUUCCGCCUUAGGAAGGGUCCGUUCUCCAAGGACGAGCGAAAGAAUAUGCGUAGAUUAGGAAACACAAAUCUUCCUGAAUAUGCAAAACGGAGCAAAAAAUAUGAAAAAUUCAGGCUGCUGCGUUAUGAAUAACAGCGCGAAAGAUUCCAUUGCGCGCGAGAUGCCCGGCGCCAAUAUAUUUAAUGAAAAUAUUCAGAAAACUAAAAGAAGGAAUGCAACGUGUCUCUCAUAAUGUUCUGUCAAUGAUGAGAGAUCGUUUCUUCUUUCCAUCUGGGAAUAUCGUUUCAUCGACCGCGAACACCCCACGUAACAGCCGAGAUCUUUCGAUUCUCGUACGCUGGCGGAGGAAUGAAUUUCAAAAGGAGGCUGCACGAUAUAUAUACGGAGUAAUCGUGACAGAUACACAUCUCGACGGAGGAGUACGAGCGAGAGAAGAGAGAAGAAAAAAGAGUGGAAGAUUCGAUAACCGUGUUCUCGUAUCCCGGCGAGGAUACCAAGCCACCACCGCCGGGACGUAUACUUGUCAGGCUUGUGUUGAAGGAUACGACGAGGGGGAGAAAAAAAAA